GACGAACGCUGGCGGCGUGCCUAAUACAUGCAAGUAGGACGCAGUUGCGAACGGGUGAGUAACGCGUAGGUAACUGCCUAUUAGAGGGGGAUAACUAUUGGAAACGAUAGCUAAUACCGCAUACUAGUAGAUGGACCUGCGUUGUAUUAGCUAGUAGGUAGGGGAAUGGCCUACCUAGGCGACGAUACAUAGCCGACCUGGGGAGGGGAUCGGCCAAACUGGGACCUGGGACCGGCCCCGACUCCCACGGGAGGGAGCAAGAGGGAAUCCUCGGGAAUGGGGGGAACCCUGGACGAGCAACGCCGCCGGAAGGAAGAAAGUUUUCGGAUCGUAAAGAUCUUGUGUUAAGGAAGCGGUACCUAACCAGAAAGGGACGGCUAACUACGUGCCAGCAGCCGCGGUAAUAC
rnacentral:rRNA from 1 species